rnacentral:lncRNA from 1 species
UGACAAUAUUUUGUGUUUAAAAACAAAGCAACACAAGUGUGGAUCUUUCUUUAAAAAAGAAAAGAAAAACCUAACAGAAAAAGAAAUGACUCCAUUCAACGUUUAAAGCUGUCAGUUUUCCCAUGGUGAGCAAAGAUCUAACCGUUCACCGCUGAACACCUACUUUAUUUACUUAGCUACGCUGCAUUUAACCACAUGUUCUAAUUUCUGAAUGUCUCUUGUUUUUAGCGCAGCUCCCUGAAACACUGCCCUAGCAGAAGGUGGGGGAGGACCCCUCAAAAACAGGAAAUUUGAUGACAUCGUAGGGUGAGCAGACGUCAGCAUGGAAUAAACAGCUUCCUAAGAGCAACAGACUCGAGGAACCAGCAUGGUUACUGUGGGGCAUUUGCUGGGUUUGGUGUGAAAGUCAACUUCUGUAUCGGAGUGGGGCAACUUAGGUCCAGACAGCAAAUCCAGCCCUCCAGAGCUCUCUAGAUGGGAAUUUUCCCCACGUUACACACUCCUCAUUAGUACCGUAUUUUUCACUCUAUAAGACGCACCAGACCAUAAGACGCACCUAGUUAUUGGAGGAGGAAAACAAGGAAAAAAUAUAUUCUGAAUCUCAGAAGCCAGAACAACAAGAGGGAUCACUGCGCAGGGAAAGCAGCGAUCUCUCUUGCUGUUCUGGCUUCUGGGAUAGCUGCGCAGCCUGCAUUCGCUCCAUAAGACGCACACACAUUUCCCCUUACUUAAAAAGGAGGGGGAAAGUGAGUCUUGUAGAGCAAAAAAUACGGUAUUUCAAAAAGUGAAAAUCCGGACACAAAAGUUGUUGCCACAAAAUCUCCAAAAAAUGAAGUUUUUGAGCUAACUUCACACAAAAAAAUCAACAGUUCCGAAAUGGUUUGCCAUUCGCCCGGGUUUCCCCAGACAUUUUUGGAAAUUCCACCUGGGCACUAUUUCCAAUGAACAAAUCGUGGGUAUGUCCAAAAAAUCAAGGAGUUAUGGCAGCCCUACUCAUUAGCCUUCUUUUGGACCACCUUGAAUGCUUUCCAUGGCUGGAAUUGGUCCUCAAACUCUGUUAGCGCUUCUUGCCAGUGGCGGACCUACAUUUUUGAAGCUCUGAUGAAGCUCGAACUGCCACAAGAGGCCCUUCACAACCAGCAAUGAGGUUUGGGUAACCAUUGUUAUCUUCCUCAGUAGUGUUGUUUACAACAGCCUUUACAACGUCUGUGCUACUGACUCUCAAAUUUGUUGAAAUAUAUGGGGGGGAAAUUAAUCAAUAUGAGACUUAAUUGGAUCUACUACAGGCACCCCCAAACUCGGCCCUCCAGAUGUUUUGAGACUACAAUUCCCAUCAUCCCUGUCCUGUUAGCUAAGGAUCAUGGGAGUUGCAGUCCCAAAACAUCUGGAGGGCCCAGCUUGGGGUGCCUGGUCUACUAGAUUCAACUUUUCAAAGCAAUGUGGUCUAAAGUUGCUUCUGAAGCCCCAUCUGGAUCAGGGGACCAGAAGCUAAACCUUCAUUAGUUUCAUAGUAGAUCCACCUUUGCUUCUUGCUGGCCUUGGAUGGAGAAGAAAGAGGGAUUCCUGAGUGUGAAAGAAAGUCACCAACUAUGCAAAACUGACCUCCAAUGCUCUGCUCAUUUUUUAUUCUGGCUCUGCCCAACCCUGGCAGUGGUGAGACAACAGUGGUGAGUCCCUGAGCGAAUGUGAGGAAGAUAAGACUGCAUAUUUUCAACUCAACACUCAACCUUAUGAGGUACAGUGGUACCUCAGGUUAAGUACUUAAUUCGUUCCGGAGGUCCGUUCUUAACCUGAAACUGUUCUUAACCUGAAGCACCACUUUAGCUAAUGGGGCCUCCUGCUGCUGCCGCACAAUUUCUGUUCUCAUCCUGAAGCAAAGUUUAGCUAAUGGGGGCCUCCUGCUGCUGCCGCGCUGCCGGAGCACGAUUUCUGUUCUUAUCCUGAAGCAAAGUUCUUAACCCGAGGUACUAUUUCUGGGUUAGCAGAGUCUGUAACCUGAAGCGUAUGUAACCUGAAGUGUAUGUAACCCGCUGUACCACUGUAGAAUAUUAUGCAGACAUCUAAAUGGAAAGAAAAACACUCAGAGAGAGGGCAAAUACUUCCCCCAAUGCUUCUAAAAUAUGAGUUAGAGCUCUUGUGAGCUCUUCUGAGAUCUGCUUAUUCGCCACCAUCACUACUAAAAACCCAAGGUCUCCUUCCAUUGCAUGGAGUUGGACAAGAUGAAGCGUGGCGUCCCUUCCAACUCUAUAGUUCUGUGAUUCUAUGAACUCCAGCCAAGUUCAUAAUAGUGGUCAGGAAGUGGGACCAAUUAAGUAUUGCAUCCUUUGAUGCAUGUACAGUGGGAUAACUUGGACAUACCAAUCUACAUUUGAGUUUUUACAGGUUGAGGAUUCUUUUCACGACUGCUGUUGUGAAACCCUUGGGACUCAGCCAUCCUUGCUGAUUUACUGCAAAUUCAAGAUUCAGAUUCUGGACCCGAACAUAGGAAGCUGCCUUACGCUGCCAGAAAUGUGGUCCAUCCACCUCAGCAUUGUUUCAAAAACAAAUUGCAGAUGGCUGCAGAAAUGUGGAGAACUGAAUUUAAGAAUGGAAAAACGAGAAACGGCGGGAAACCGAAAUUGACAGGUUUGAUCAUCUUUACGGCCAACCCCACAGCCCAUCAGCUGCAGUCCAACCUUUUAGAGCAUGCUCCAAAUUUUCCACUUCAGAAGCAAAUGCAUGUUGCAAAGAAAUAUUUUUCCAAUAUGAAAAGAAUGAGGGGUGGGAGAGAGCUCAGCCUGCUAGGAUUAGCUGCACCUACCAUAUGUUUCCCCACAAAGAGGAGUGUGUUGCUCGUGCAAUUUCAUCACAGUGGCCAUCUUUGUUUCCACAGAGAUUGUGACAUAUGGCCAUAGACUCUUAAAUUAGAAGACUCCCUUUAAAAAAAAAACCACCCCAGCACUGAUCUUUUUGUAGAAAUGAAUAGUGUAUUCAAAGUGAAGAAAGCUCCUGUUAUGGACCUACCCAUUUUUUAUCUAUAUAUGUCAUUUCCUUUUAUUGCUUUUGUAUAAUUUUAAGGAACAGGGUCAUCCAGCGAGAAUGUGUGUCUAAAAUAGCUGAGGAAUGAUUUCAUUUUUUACAAAAAGGGACAGAUCUUUCUAUUAGAUGAUAUUGUUGUUGUUAUUUAUGAUCAUUAUGGUAAAUUAGUAGCAAUAUGGUAGAAUACAUUAUUAUUAUUAUUAUUAUUAUUAUUAUUAUUAUUAAUGGAUGUCCAAAUAAGCCACAGAAUGGACCCACUGUCUCUGAUUGCAGGAAGUCUACUCUGAGGAUGGUGAAUACUGGAUAUCACCUAAUAACAUAAACCAGUAAUUCCCAGAAUUACAGGGAAUUAUAGGGAUAGAGCUAUCCAAGUUGUAUAUAAAUUUAUUUAUGUACGCAACUACAGCGGCAAGAAUGUUACUUGCCCCCAAAUGGAAAGAAGAAGAAGUCCCAGUAAAGGAAGAGUGGAUAAAAAAAACUUACGGAAUACGCAGAAAUGGUGAAAAUUACCGGAAGAAUAAGAAAUCAAGAGAACAAACUUUUUAUAAAAGAAUGGAAAUGGCUUAUCAAAUAUUUACAGAUAAAUUGUAAACAGAUAAAAACACUGGCAGGAUUAUUGUAAUAACCUGCAGCUAUAUAAGUGUGUGUGUGUGUGUGUGUGUGUGUGUGAAGUAAAUGAGCAAGUUAAGUUAAUUUGGAUAUGCAGAAGAUAGUAAAAAUAAAUUUAAGGAACCGCAGGAAGAGGGGGAAGGAAGUCAAGCUUUAAAAUGUCAAAAUGAAUGUCAAAUCAGUGAAAUGUAUAUAUUUGAAAAGUAUAAAUAAAAGUUAAAUAUAAUAAUAGUAAUAUAAACCAGUGCUAUUUUUUCUAGAAAAAUAGGUGCUGGAACUCAUCAUGGACAAGAAGCUCACUUCCAAGUAGGGUCAGUAAUGUCCACAGUCUGAAAUCCCUACUAGCAUAGACAAUACCAAACAAGAUGGACAAAUUGUCUGGAUCAGUAUAAGGCAGCUUCCUAUUUCAUCAUCAACAAAUGACAUUUGGGAACGAUUUCCUCUGGGUUAAAAGUGGGAGGCACACACAAUACAGUGGUACCUCAGGUUAAGUACUUAAUUCGUUCCGGAGGUCCGUUCUUAACCUGAAACUGUUCUUAACCUGAAGCACCACUUUAGCUAAUGGGGCCUCCUGCUGCCGCUGCGCCGCCGGAGCAUGAUUUCUGUUCUCAUCCUGAAGCAAAGUUCUUAACCCGAGGUACUAUUUCUGGGUUAGCGGAGUCUGUAACCUGAAGUGUAUGUAACCCAAGGUACCAUUGUACAGUACAUUUUUAAGAAUGACAGAAGAGCAAUUGUCUCCUUUGCUGUCCAGAAAAAUAGGCGGGCAUUCUCCUUGCAACUGCCAGACAACCCAGUUAAUAUCACCUCCUGUCCAACAAGUCAGUCUAGACUCAGGGAAUGGGACCAGGUUUUCUGGCCAAUGGCAGUGCCCUGGUCUCUCACCCCACACCUGUCAGCUGAUGCACCUUUCUUUCAUCUCUUAGGACGACGUCAUUGCUCAUCUACCAACAGAGAUGCACUCGAGC